GAGCGAGGCUUAAUCAAAGAGCAAAGAAGCUCUUACUCUUUGGCUUAAUUCAACAAAGAUGGAACGGAAUGACGUUGGGAAUUUGGAGAAAAAUUAAAUGAUUUAAUCAAAGUGCCUGUUAAAUAUUUAAGUCUUUAAGUCAUCGUGAGAUAUACAUAUGGAUAUGGAAGCGUUGAUAAAAAAGCUUGGAUAUAUUUUGAAGCAUUCAAUUUGGAGGAUCCUCCUUUAAUGGACUUUUGCGAUGAUGAGCAACAAGCAAGAGGCUUCCUGAAUUGAAAAUGAUUGAGAUUUAUACUCAAAUUGAAUUGGAACAUGAAAGUUACCUCAACAGGGCAACAAAGGAUUACUAGCUGAGGCAAUUUACAAUGAUAAAGGGAAAACAUUUACACACCAACAACAUUGGAAUCAAUAAAAUGGUAAAAUAGCAAAUCAUGCUAUUGUAUAAGCUUGGUUGUUUGUUGAUAGAGUUGAUCGAAGUCUUCAUCUUUUUAUGUUCCGUGUUUAGGAAACACAUAAACUCAGAAGUUGGUGAACUUUUUCCAAAACUUCUAGCUGCUGAUAAUGGUUAUCUUAGACUGUCAUCAGUUGUCAUUCCAAUGUGUAAUCAAAUGUAAUGGUUUGACAAGUGAAAUUGAAAAUAAUUGACUAGCUAUUCAAAGAUUUCAAGGAUGCCAGUGAAAGCAUGUUUAAGAGACCAUAUUAUCGUCCAAUCCUUUUAUCUCAUGCAAUGUUUUCUGGAUUGAAAGAUCAACAGCAAACCAGUCUGUAGAGAUAGGGCGCUGAGUCUGUGACGCUAAUGGAUUGGUGUCUGAAUCGCCUCUAACAUUUGAUAACACGAUUACUGCUUUUACCUGAAAGUGAAAAUACGAUACUUUACUCAUGAAAAUAGCUCGUUAUUUAAAUAUAAGUGUUUGUUUGGUAACAAAUGGGUCAACAUUGGACGGAUCACAAUCUUCAAUUCAGCCUAAAACAAAGUCCUUCAAAUCACACAACAUCAAACAUAUGGGCCAUAACGAUUAUUGCACAGCGUAUUAUCAUCGUCAUUUCGUUGAUUAUAUGAUGAGAGUACAAGGAAGCUUGUCAGCUAAUGGUCAAGCGGCUAUUACUAGAGCUAAUUAAAGCUAAUCGUAAUUGAAAUCUUGUGAAAACAGCAAGAAAUAAAACAAACAUAAACUAAACUCUAAACUCAUCCCUAAAAAUAUCUUGUUUCAAUAACAAUUAAGCUUUUCUCUGUUUCCAAAUGUAAUUGUAGGAUUAUUGUGUUUCUUUUGUAGCAACAAAUAAUCUGAAAUUCCUGAUGAUUCCAACCGGAAUAGUUAUUCUGAAUGAAAUUAAAUAAGUUUCCCUUGAGAUUGUGAGAAACAGCA